ACAAGACCCUAUUAAACUUUACUAUUAGUUUAGCUGGGGCAGCUCAUUAAUUAUAAUUUUAUUUUUUUUUUUAUUUUUAACAAAAUUUCCAAUAUAAUUGAUUAAAUAAACAAGUUACUAUAGGGAUAACAGCGUAAUAUUAUUUUAAAGUUCAUAUUAUAAAUAAUGUUUGCGACCUCGAUGUUGAAUUAUUAUUCUAUUUAAUGCAGCAGUUAAAAAAGUAGGUCUGUUCGACCUUUAAUAUAUUACAUGAUUUGAGUUCAAACCGGUAUAAGCCAGGUUGGUUUCUAUCUUUUUUAAUAAUUUUCCAGUACGAAAGGACAAAAAAAUAUAUUAUAAAUUAUAUAUUAGCAAAUAAAUGCAAUAGAUUUAGAAUCUAAAAUUACUAAAAUUAUUAUUAUUAUUAAUUCUUUUAUUUCAAUUAUUUGUAUUUUAAUUAGAGUAGCAUUCUAUACUAUUUUAGAACGAAAAAUUUUAAGAUAUAUCCAAAUUCGAAAAGGUCCUAAUAAAGUAGGACUCAUAGGAAUUUUACAACCUUUUAGAGAUGCUAUUAAAUUAUUUAAUAAAAAUUUAUUAUCAUCUGAAUUUAUAAACUUUUCAUUAUCAUAUUCUACUCCCGCAUUAUCUUUAAUUUUAGCUUUAAGUAUUGUAUCAUUUAUACCAAUAUAUAUAUAUUCUUCUUUUGAUAAUAAACAUAAUAUUAUUAUAUUUUUUGUAAUUUCAAGAUUAUCAG
rnacentral:rRNA from 1 species